AUCGGUGUAUGAGCUUGUGUAGGUUAUACUCUUCUAACGUGUGACCUACGAUCGAGAAAUCGUAUUGUCUACGUAAUAAAAAUAGUAAAACGUUUGACAAAAUUGAACUGGUAGAAUUAUUUAAGCAGCCACUAAUUGGAUAUUAAUUGCGAUAGAAUACGUAAGAUAUAAUAAAAUGGAAUAAGCUGGUCCCGACGCACGCGCGAGUACUCUUAUCGCGUACCUGAAAGAAAACAAAAAAAAAAUAAAGAGAAAGAGAAAAUGAGGAUAAGAGAACGAGAAACGCGCGCAAAGUCCCACACUUAACAUCUCCA